UGCCCAGCAACUGCUAUCCCUACCUCCUCGUGGUACUGGCCGGGGUACGAGUAACCUUGGGGAAGAUCGGGUAACCAACCCCCGGUGGGAACUUUGGUCGUAUGCUGACAGGGAAGG
rfam:Aedes aegypti strain Liverpool supercont1.331 genomic scaffold, whole genome shotgun sequence.